AUUUUCUUCAUACACACCUAAUAAACCAUACAAUGGAUAAAAUACUUACUUGACAAACUUCCUGUAAGCUUUUUAUUUUUCAUUUACAAAGGGCAUAAUAAUAGCACCUUUCAUCUGAAGAGCUGAAGGUGUUUUUUACAAAUGUCAACAUUUUAAAACAAUCAAAGAACAAGGAGUCUUGCAAUCAGUCUCUGUUUCAAAGUGCACCAUUUUCCAGAAGUUGUCAUAACACUCUACCAAUGAUGUUUUCAGGAAAUGUAUCCUGUUUCUAUAUUAUAAAUCAAAUUGGAAAAAAAGGCAUAGUCCCAAAUCCUUUUGCAAUACAAGCAUCCAUUUUAAAAGGACAAGAAAAAAAAAAUUGGCCCAACCGCAAAAAAGGGGAAAUUUGAAGGGUAGUCAGCACCACCCAAAUACAAUGUGUAAAGCAGUCAACACUAAUUUAGAAACACCACAAUCUACCUCAAAUACCUGAGAUAGAUGCUAGUGUAAAACACAUAGGAGGCUGAUGUCUUCCCUCAUUUCUAUUCAUGCAGGUAAGAAGGAAAUGAUGCAGGCUAUAUGAUACCUGUAUUGUGGACCCAAGACCUCUUACCACUGCACCCAGUUUAAUCCACUUAUAGUGGUAUUUUCCUGUGAAAAACAUCAAUUAAUAAAAGGUUAAAAUAUAUAAUAGGGUGUCAGCAAAAGGGAGUCGAUGACAAUUAGAAGCAGACAGUGCUCACUACAGCCUAGGAUAUUUUAUUAGAAACCAAAUAUGUUGAAAAAAGUAAAAAAUAAGUCACCCCCAUUAAUACAACAGAAAUGAUUUCACAUACAACCUACAAAGGGAGUAACAGAUCCUCCUGCCUACAGACAUAUUAAGACUGUCAAUUAACUCCCACACCAAAUGACAUUUAUUUUCUAUUGUACAUAGCCCUUUUUCAUGGGAUGGAGUCCAAAUAUUCCUUCUAAAGUUUACAAAAAUCUCAUACAUUCACUCUUUCUUGAAACUGAAUAAAUCUAAAUGAUCCUUUUUCUCUGUGUCAAAAAGCUAUUACACUUUUGUUGACAAGAAAUUAGGCAUGUCCACAAUUAUUGAGCAAUGGAUGCAGGAUUAUCGUUAGCAUAUGCCUUACCAGUGAUAUACAAGUGCAGUUCCAUAAGAGAAAGUCACAUUGGAGGGAGAAUUUAAACAAUGACAAUGAUAUAGGAAUAGAAGUGUCAGAGGGUAGGAUAGGAUACUAGAUAUAACUAGUUUUAUUGGUACAACUUAAAAGCAAUAGAGGCUGAACAAUUCAAUACAAUUUAUAACGGAAAAAAAAAAUACUGUAAUAAGGAGGUGUCAAAACAAACAGGAGUUAUUUGCAUCAUAUAUCAAAAGAUCAUCAAUUUCCAGUGUUCCACAAUUAGUAAAAUACACAACUACGGAUAGUCCCAUAAGACAAAAAUACCUUUUUUCCCCCUGAAUUCAACUGGGUUCAAGUGUGUACAGAAAAGUGUCCAAGCCACUUCUUUUUCUGAUAAUAGCUACAUAAUCAAAAGCUACACAAAGAAAAUUGUUAGGGAAGGAGUAAAAUAGAGGAAGAAGGAAAACAGAAUCUCCAAUUAUGGAAGAAAAUUGAAAUCCAAAGGGAAUUGUGCUCUUCAUUUCCCCAAACACAAAACCAAACCAAAAGUGUCCAUCAAAAACAAUGUGCCAAGGAGAACUUUAGCUACAGUGAUUUUUUUUUUUUUAUUGCAUUUCAGGAUGACCUGGAGGUUAUUUACCUAGAGGGGAAAAGUUGAUUUUUCAAAACUACCUGAACAGAUACUAAAGUGCUUUAUUAAAAUUGGCUGGCUUCACAAGAUUCCUGGAAUGACAAAAAUGAACCACAGUCAAGGAAUACCAAGAUAGUUCACAAAAUGGUCAAAGCCAACAUGACUCACACUCACAGCUCUGAGAUGGGCUGCUGGAACACUUGUCCUUCUUUAGCAGACAGUUGCAUAUUAAGAAGUGAUCAUCACACCACUGUAGGUGUUCAGACUGCUCACACAAAGCCUCAAACAUGCUAUCACAGAACUUUAAGGAAAGCUCCAACAUAUCUUCCUUGUAAGCUUCAAGGUUUUUAAGGAUUUGCUUUUCACAUAUAGCCUGGACUCUUUUCACUUUUGAAGUUGCAACCAAAUCAAAACUCUUUCUUUAAAGUGAAAGGCAAGUGUUACAGCAAGAGAAACCAUGAUUUUGCUUAAUGGUACUUGUGGAUGGAUUGUAAACUGAGUUAAUCUCAAUCCACUAACUGGUAUCAAAUUAAUACAUCAGCAUUACAAGUAUUAAAUGUUUCAAUACUACCUACAGAAGAUAGAACCAAAAUAUUCAUAUGGCAGUUAUGUUCUUUAGGCACAGUUUAGUGAUUUUUUAAAAAAUAAAUACCAUUGAAUUUCAAUUCAAGUUCUAAACCUGAUAACCAAAGAAUUAAGAUAUUCUU
rnacentral:lncRNA from 1 species